ACCGAAAAGGCUCAGUUGGGACAGCGUUAGACUACAGAUCAAAACGGCCCUGGUUCAAUCCCGCGUUCCGGCA
rnacentral:tRNA from 1 species